CAACUCUGGUUUCCCUUCAAAACGCAUAAAUCUUUCGCCUUUUACUAAAGAUUUCCGUGGAGGGGAACGACUCAAUGAGUCUUAUAUAUUUUUUUUCUUGGCCCACUUAGUGGGCCUA